rnacentral:sRNA from 1 species
AGAAAAGUGACCGCCGCCCCGCGCAGGGGCGACGCUAAUAGACCGACACGAUCACAGGUACUUCACGCCAACCGCGAUCUCCCCACCCAACGGCAAAAAGAAAUCAAUCCUUUCCCCCACGCUCGAC